GAUGAACGCUGACAGAAUGCUUAACACAUGCAAGUCGAUUCGAUUUACCUUCGGGUAUUGAGGAUGGCGGACGGGUGAGUAACGCGUAAGGAACUUGCCUCUUGGUCUGGGACAACUGUUGGAAACGACAGCUAAUACCGGAUAUUAUGAGAUUCUCGCAUGGGAAACUUAUGAAAGCUAUAUGCGCCAAGAGAGAGCCUUGCGUUCCAUUAGCUAGUUGGUGGGGUAACGGCCCACCAAGGCGACGAUGGAUAGCCGGCCUGAGAGGGUGAACGGCCACAAGGGGACUGAGACACGGCCCUUACUCCUACGGGAGGCAGCAGUGGGGAAUAUUGGACAAUGGGCCACAAGCCUGAUCCAGCAAUUCUGUGUGCACGAUGAAGGUCUUCGGAUUGUAAAGUGCUUUCAGUUGGGAAGAAGAAAGUGACGGUACCAACAGAAGAAGCGACGGCUAAAUACGUGCCAGCAGCCGCGGUAAUACGUAUGUCGCAAGCGUUAUCCGGAUUUAUUGGGCGUAAAGCGCGUCUAGGCGGAAAAAUAAGUCUGAUGUUAAAAUGCGGGGCUCAACUCCGUAUUGCGUUGGAAACUGUUUUUCUAGAGUACUGNAGAGGUGGGCGGAACUACAAGUGUAGAGGUGAAAUUCGUAGAUAUUUGUAGGAAUGCCGAUGGAGAAGUCAGCUCACUGGACAGANACUGACGCUAAAGCGCGAAAGCGUGGGGAGCAAACAGGANUAGAUACCCUGGUAGUCCACGC
rnacentral:rRNA from 1 species